AGAGUUUGAUCCUGGCUCAGAACGAACGCUGGCGGCGCGUCUUAAGCAUGCAAGUCGGACGGCAAGGGUAGCAAUACCCCUAGAGUGGCGGACUGGUGAGUAACGCGUGGGUGACCUGCCCUUGAGAUGGGGAUAGCCAUUAGAAAUAGUGGAUAAUACCGAAUACGCUUGCUGUCACUGUGGUGAUGCAAGGAAAGGAGCUACGGCUCCACUCAAGGAUGGGCCCGCGUCCCAUUAGCUAGUUGGUGAGGUAACGGCCCACCAAGGCGACGAUGGGUAUCCGGCCUGAGAGGGUGUACGGACACAUUGGGACUGAGAUACGGCCCAAACUCCUACGGGAGGCAGCAGCUAAGAAUAUUCCGCAAUGGACGAAAGUCUGACGGAGCGACGCCGCGUGGAUGAAGAAGGCCGAAAGGUUGUAAAAUCCUUUUGCUGAUGAAGAAUAAGUGGUGUAGGGAAUGACAUCAUGAUGACAUUAGUCGGUGAAUAAGCCCCGGCUAACUACGUGCCAGCAGCCGCGGUAACACGUAGGGGGCAAGCGUUGUUCGGAAUUAUUGGGCGUAAAGGGCAUGUAGGCGGUUUCGUAAGCCUGGUGUGAAAUCCUGCAGCUUAACUGUAGAAUUGCAUCGGGUACUGCGAGACUUGAAUCACAGAGGGGAAACUAGAAUUCCAGGUGUAGGGGUGGAAUCUGUAGAUAUCUGGAAGAAUACCGGUGGCGAAGGCGGGUUUCUAGCUGAUGAUUGACGCUGAGGUGCGAAAGUGCGGGGAGCAAACAGGAUUAGAUACCCUGGUAGUCCGCACCGUAAACGAUGUACACUAGGUGUUGGGGCAUGAGUCUCAGUGCCAAAGCUAACGUGAUAAGUGUACCGCCUGGGAAGUAUGCCCGCAAGGGUGAAACUCAAAGGAAUUGACGGGGGCCCGCACAAGCGGUGGAGCAU
rnacentral:rRNA from 1 species